CCUCCUUUCUAAGGAUGAGUGAAAGUAAAAUUUCACUCUAAAUAAUAUACAUCGGUAAUGUUGACCGUCCUCAUUUCUCUUCUUAAAGUAAUGUUUCCUUCUUGUAGGGCCGGUAGCUCAGUUGGUUAGAGCACACCCUUGAUAAGGGUGGGGUCGAAAGUUCGAGUCUUUCUCGGCCCACCAAAAACCUAAAUGGGGGAUUAGCUCAUCUGGGAGAGCGCCUGAUUUGCAUUCAGGAGGUAGCAGGUUCGAUCCCUGUAUCCUCCACCAGGAAACAUUUAGUUAUUAAAACUGUAAAUAAAAAUAAUUUAUAUCAAUAUCUAUAUCCGAACAUUAAGAGUUAUUAUUUAAUGUUCAAAAUAAAAAUUUGAUCACAACAUGGAUAAUUUUUCUUUAAAAAGAAUUUUUUUCUGUGCAUAAAUCAAGCGUUUAAGGGCGUGUAGUGGAUGCCUGGGCACUGAAAGCUGAUGAAGGACGUGAUAU
rnacentral:tRNA from 1 species